AGCCUCAGCGGUAGCCUUGUUCCCGAGCCUGAUGUGAGCGUUGGCCGUUGUCGUCCCUGUCAGGUUCUACGUUUCCGUGGCAGCUGGAACUUCCCUGAGAUUUCGCGUCUGUGAAACGCUCCAGCGGAGGAAACAAGCGGAGAGAGGGCUUCCACAGUCGCGGGGACCUGAUGAGCCGACCAGAGCGGGGUCACCUGCCCCGACCCGGGGGACCAACAGAGCCCUCAGGCAGGUGCGGACGCUGGGGCCGACGAGGGAGCGUGAGUUGAGGAUGAGGCUUCUAUUAUCUCCGUCGGGCCAAAAGCAACGGAGAAGCGUUUCCACUGGAACGCUAUCCGCUUAGUCAUCUCGAAUAACUUUAAGCAUUUCAUCACCGUUCCUGGCCGCAAACAUGAAUCCCUUCAAGGGAGUCGAGGUCUGUUUUCUCCCUUAAAGCCCUCAGAGUAUUCUGCUUCUAUUUCCCGUAUGGAAUAUGGAUGUAUUAAAUGCAAAAAAGUCCAUAAAUUGAACAUUAUGGUUGAGGAAUGAGCUCCACGGAUGCCAGGAAAUUCAAAAAUUGUACUCCAGAUCGUGGCCCAGGAAGCUAAGGAAGAGAUGUAUCGGAUGACCUUAUAUCAGGUAGUGGUCCAAGAAUCUGACAGUAGGUGUUGAAGGCUGGGAAGAAUUGCGAUAAACUCAUCCAAAGGUCCUAGAAGAAGGAAUUUCCUUGACUAAUAGGCAACUAGGGACUCAGAUUCCCCCACUCCAACAAAUUCUUUCCUCUGCUUCCUGUCAUCGCACUUCACCCUCCAUUCUAUACAUUGUUUUUUCCUUGGCUGCAAUAUGAGCUCAAUAAAAAUGUGCCAUUAUCCCUUUUA